AUGAACCCUUUAACUAAGGUGAAGAUGAUCAAUGAGCUGAAUGAACAAGAGUUCCAGCUUGGGGUGGCCGAUAAGGUGUCCUGGCACUUUGAGUACAAGGACAGUGCCUGGAUCUUCCUGGGAGGGAUCCCUUGUGAACUAACUGAAGGGGACAUCAUGUGUGUGUUCUCACAAUAUGGGGAGAUUGUUAACAUUAAUCUCGUGUGGGACAAGAAGACUGGGAAAUCCAAAUGAUUCUGUUUCCUCUGCUAUGAAGACCAAAGAAGCACAAUUCUGGCCUUUGACAAUUUUACUGGGAUCAAGAUCAAAGGAAGAACUAUCCUAGUAGAUCAUGUGUCUAACUAUAGGGCUCCUAAGGACUCAGAAGAAAUGGAUGAUGUGACCAGAGAACUCCAGGAGAAGGGCAGUGCGGUUCGUACCCCCUCACCAAGUUGGUCUGAGAGCUCUGAAGAUGAAAAACCAACAAAAAAGCACACACACAAGAAAAGACAGAAACAAAAGAAAGCAAAAGAGAAAACUGAUUGGGAGGUACAGGCAGAGCAAGCAUCCUCUUCAUCUCGCAAAAGCAAGACAGUAAAGGAAGAGAAUGACCCUGGACCUAAAAAGCACAGCAGCAGGAACUUGGAGAGAGCUCAGAAGUCAGAGCCCAGGGAGGGGAGGAAGCUCCCCAGGACUGCCUACUCUGGUGCAGCAGAGGACCUAGAGAGGGAGCUGAAGAAGGGGAAACCCAGGCAAGAGCACAAGUCCUCAAGUAGGAGGGAGGCAAGAGAAGAAAAGAGCAGGGAUAGGGACAGAGGACGGAGUUCAGACACACAUUCUAGCCAGCACAAUGGGCGAAGGGCGUGGUCAUAGAAGUAGAAGUAGGAACCAAGAUAAAUCCCAUAGGCAUAAAAGGUCCCAGUGCUGCCGGGAGCAGGAGUCUUCCAAUCCCAGUGUCCGUGGGCGUCACUGAAGACUGUUCAGCUGCUCAGUAGAUUUGGGAAUAAUUAUGUUUUUUAAAUGUAGUCAAAUUCAGUUGAGUUGUUCCUAUUUUUGCAUCUAAAAUUUCUGGGGCUGCAUUCUUUGAAUCCCUAAGUCAUUGAGAGGGCUGCAGUUUCAACAGCUAGAUAUCCUGGAUAUUCUUCAUAUCAUCUAUUGUUCCUUUACUACCGUGUGUAUCCUGAAUUUUGGUUCAUAAAUAUGGCUCUUGAACCCAUAGACCCCAGUUAGAAAUGGAAUUUUCAAGAAAGAGAAAAUAUCAGAUGAUUCUAGAAUUGUAGUCUUUGUGUUAGAUGUUUAGAACCCAGCAUUGUGGGACCUUUCCAGUUACUAGGUUUGGACAACUUGAUAUGAAUGAAUGGGAUAGGAUUUUUAAGAUCAGCCAGUCCCAUGCCCAAACCCUACUGUUUAAAAUAAUUUUUAAUAUCUUCUCUUUUUCAUUAAAACUUUUUUGUUUGAUA